ACCUCAGCAGCCCCCGUGGAAAAUCGUUCCAACCUCCAAAAGGUUUAGAGGGAAUAGCAUAAGAGCCUAGUGGACUUUCCACUCUUAAAUCCCUUGUGCUGCCAGUAGCUUAUUUCCCCUGUUGCAUCUUUCAGGCAGGCUGCAGGUACAUAAAGGCAUGUUGGGAGUUCUAUAAGAAUGAUGUGUGGCUCUCUAGAUGGCUUGCUUCCUUUUUUAUUACUACCCAGUUUCCACUCUGCCAAGCAGUGGGCGAGAAGGCAUCAUUCUACUGCGCCAGCAGUAUGGUGCCUGCUCUCCUGAGGGGCAUAUACUUUGAACUGGCUCUGGCAGAGGAGGCCCAGAGAUCCUGGCUCCAGGCCUUACACCAUUAAGAUGGGCCUGGAUGCCUGAUUGGAUGGAAAACUUCAGGGAGAAAAAUUCCUGUUUAGGUGCCUAAUGGACACAGCUUUGGAGUGUUUGAGAGAGGACAUCCUUCCCACCCAGCCUCAUCUUUCAUGGCAAUAAGAACACUAAGCAGCAUUUGUUCAAUAGAAUUAUCCAUGACAAUGGAAAUGUUCUAUAGCUACACUGUUGAAAGCAACAGAAGCCGCUGGCCAUCUGUGGCUGUUGAACACUUGAGAUGUGGUUAGUUUGAUUGAGAGAUUGAAUUUUUAAUUCCAUUUAAUUUUAUUUCAUGUAAAUGUAAAUAACCACAUAUGGCUAGUGGCUAUAGUAUAGUAUAAAUAUACUUUGGAAUAAUUUUGUUAUGGCUUGCAGAUUGCUUGGUAAAAUAAAGAACAGACACAACACACACAUGCACGCACACUUAAUUCCAUUUAUUUUAUUUCAUGUAAGUGUCAAUGGACACAUGUGGCUAGUGGCUACAGUAUUGUAUAAAUAUACUUUGGAAUAAUUUUGUUAGGCUUUGGAGAUGGCUUGGUCAAAUAAAGAACACAUACAGCAUACACACACUCACACUCACACUCAUAUUCAUACAGACUCUCAGCAUUCCACCUACCAAGUCUAUGCAUUUCCAUCACCUUAUUAUCACAUGCAUUAUCGCACAGCACCAUAGGAGGGUGAUCUUAUUUUUCGCAUUUUAUAGAUGAGAAAAAUGAAUCACAGAGAAGUUAUGUGUUUAUCUAAGGUUACUUGAUAAGUGAGCAGUGCAAACAGGGCUUGCAACUAGGCUUGUUUCUGAAUCCUGAGGGCUGAACAUGGUGAUCACAAAUCGCUCUAAAAGACACGGCCUCAGAGCUCUCUUGCUGGGCUACUGACCACGUGACUGGAAUGGCCUGAAGGUGAUGUACCUGCAAAGCAGAGUCUAUUACAACGGCUUGGCUAGCAUAAUUGACUUCAGGAAGUGAUCCACCAGGGACAGAGUUGAGGGUCUGGGGAGCGAAAUAGGAAAGAUGAGAAAGUCAAUGCAAGGCAUAUUAUUGAGGGUAGGCACCUGGUGCCCAAUCUUGCAGGGACAGUCUAGGAACUGUGUAGAACGUUCUUUAAAGUUGUCGAGCGGACACUUUGAAGAAGGGAGUAUUUGUCCAGCAGCUCCUGUCUCCAUUGGUCAAAGACCCCUUAUUUAUGGGGUAUUCUCUUGCUUGCAUUUCUGGGUUUUCUGGAUUUGUUUGUGUGCUAAUACAGUUGAAUGGGUGUCUAUCAGCUCCCCAUGUGGCAGGGCAGAACAAUAGAGUAGAACCUGACCUAACCAAGGUGAGGGUUGCACCUUCCUGUUGCUGGUUGCUUCAGCAAGAGCUGGAGUUAAAAAGAUGGCUAAAAGGCUAUAAGAUGGGGCCUCAAAGAUGUCCAUGGACCAAGGGGAAGGCGCUAAAUAGCACAGAUAGGGGUGACAGAAAUAGGAACUAGAAGAGGCUAGGAAGCUCUGAGAAUGGAUUCUUUCAAAAGAAUUCAAAAUGGCCUAACUUUUGAUGCUGUCAGGGAGCUGUGGGCUACUUAGUGGCUAGCACUUUGGUAGUGCUUUCGUGAAUCAUGCAUGGCUCUGAAUUAACAAAGUCUUUCUUUCUCCCACUGUCCCAUCUCUUGCCAGUUGACUUCUUUGUGCCACCUGGAUGGAGUGAGCACAGGGAAACCAACAGUUCAGUGUAUUCCAAAUUUGAAUUGAUAUUAUUCAUUCAUCUAUAGACAGCAUGGCACAGAGGUUAAGAGCAUUAACUCUGAAGCCAGAUUGCUGGGUCCAAAUCCUGGCUCUGCUACAUACUGGCUUUGUGGCCUCGAGCAAAUUAUUUAACCCUCAUUUCUUUCAUUGGGAAAUUGAGAUUGUAGAGCUUAUUUUAUAGAGUAAUGAUGAAAAUUAGCUGGGUUAACAUACAUGAACAUUUUAGAACACUUCCUGGCAGGUAGAAAGUACAAUAUGUAUGUUUGCUAUUAUUUGUUCAUUCAUUAAUUGACAAAGAAUUAUUCAGUGUCUGAUUCACACAAGGCAUUGCUUUCCUUAAUCAGUGUGCAUUUCUGGGUCUGACAGUGUCUCUGUCGUUCACGCAAGUCUUCUGAAUUUUUUUUAUGCUCUUAAUUCUCAGACUACCAUCCUCUCUUCUUUUUUCUUCUGUUUUCACUGAUCAAAACUUAUUUUUCUUUUCUGGUUCCUCUUCUCUCACCAACAUUUAAAUACUGGGACAUUUCAGGACUCAGUGUUUGGCUAUAUUCUUUUUUUUAAAUAAUGAUUUUUAUUUUUUCCUUUAUAGCUGGUUUACCGUGGUCUGUCCAUUUUCUACUGUACAGCAAGGUGACCCAUUCACACAUACAUGUAUAUACUCUCUUUUCUCACAUUAUCAUGCUCCAUCACAAGUGACUAGAUACAGUUCCUAGUGCUAUACAGCAGGAUCUCAUUGCUUAUCCAUUCCAAAGGAAAUAAUUUGCGUCUAUUAAUCACAAAGUCCCAGUCCAUCCCACUCCCUCCCCCUCCCCUUGGCAACCACAAGUCUGUUCUCCAAGUCCAUGAAUUGCUUGUCAGUGGAAAGGUUCAUUUGUGCCAUAUAUUAGAGUCCAGAUAGAAGUGAUUUCAUAUGGUAUUUUUCUUUUUCUGACUUACUUCACUCAGUGUGAGAGUCUCUAGUUCCAUUGAUGUUGCUGCAAAUGGCAUUAUUUUGUUCUUAUUUAUGACUGAGUAAUAUUCCAUUGUGUAUAUAUGCCACAUUUUCUUAAUCCAAUCAUAUGUUGAUAGACAUUUAGUUUGUUUCCAUGUGUUGCUAUUGUGAAUAAUUUUGCAAUGAACACGCGGGUGCAGGUGUCUUUUUCGAGGAAACUUUUGUCCGGAUGUAUGCCCAAGAGUGGGAUUGCUGGGUCAUAUGGUAGUUCUAUGUAUAGAUUUCUAAGGUACCUCUAUACUGUUUUCCAUAGUAGUUGUAGCAAUUUACAUUGCCACCAACAGUUCAGGAGGGUUCCCUUUUCUCCACACCCCCUCCAGCAUUUGUUAUUUGUGGACUUAUUAAUGAUGGGCAUUAUGACUGGUGUGAGGUAGUACCUCAUAGCAGUUUUGAUUUGCAUUUCUCUAAGAAUCAGGGAUGUUGUGCAUUUUUUCAUGUGCUUGUUGGCCACCUGUAUAUCUUCCUUGGAGAAAUGUCUAUUCAGGUCUUUGGCCUUUUUUUUCCAUUGGGUGGUUGGCUUUUUUACUGUUGAGUUGUAUAAGUUGUUUAUAUAUUUGAGAGAUUAAGCCCUUGUCAGUUGCAUUGUUUGAAACUAUUAUCUCCCAUUCCAAAUGCUGUCUUUUUUUUUAUGGUUUCUUUUGCUGUGCAAAAUCUUGUCAGUUUGAUUAGAUCCCAUUGUUUAUUUUUGCUUUUAUUUCUGUUGCUUUGGGAGACUGACCUGAGAAAACAUUUGUAAAGUUGAUAUCAGAGAAGGUUUUGCCUAUGUUCUCUUCUUGGAGUUUGAUGGUGUCUUCUCUUACAUUUAAAUAUUUAAGCCAUUUUGAGUUUAUUUUUGUGCAUGGUGUGACAAUGUGUUCAUUUCAUUGAUUUUCAUGAGGCUGUCCAGUUUUCCCAGCACCACUUGCUGAGAAGACUGUCUUUUUCCCAUUUAUGUUCUUGCCUCCUUUGUUGAAGAUUAAUUGACUGUAGGCACGUGGGUUUAUUUCUGGGUUCUCUAUUCUGUUCCAUUGGUCUAUAUGUCUGUUUUGGUACCAAUACCACACUGUCUUGAUUGUGGCUUUGUAAUUUUACCUGAAGUAUGGGAGAGUUAUACCUCAUGCUUAGUUUGUGUUCCUCAGGAUUGCUUUGGCAGUUCUAGGUCUUUCAUAGUUCCACAUAAAUUUUUGGAUUGUUUGUUGUAGUUCUGUGCAAAAUGUCGUGGGUCAUUUUAUAGGGAUUGCAUUGAAUCUGUAGAUUGCUUUGGGUAUGCUUAUGGCCAUUUUUAUGAUUUUUUUUUGUCUUUUUAGGGUUGCAUCACAGCAUAAGGUGGUUCCCAGUUUUGGCAGGCUGUAUGUCUGUAUAAAGUUGUCCAUUUCUUCCAGGUUGUCAAAUUUGUUGGCAUACAAUUAUUCAUAGUAUUCUCUUAUGUUUGUUUUUUUUUUUUUGUAUUUCUGCAAUAUCUGUUGUGACUUCUCCUUUUUCAUUUCUGAUUUUGUUUAUUUGUUUUUCUCCUCACCUCUUCUUGGUGAGUCUAGCCAGAGGUUUGUCCAUUUUGUUUACCUUAUCAAAGAACAAGUUCUUGGUUUUAUUGAUUUUUUUUUCUUUUCUUUUUUUUAAUAUAUCUAAGAGGACUAGUAUCAGAGUUUUUAUUUUAUUUUUUAUUUUUUUAAAUUGUUAUUUUCCACAACACAAUUUUUUUUUCUACUGUACAGCAUGGUGACCCAGUUACACAUACAUGUACACAUUCUAUUUUCUCACAUUAUCAUGCUCCAUCAUAAGUGACUAGACAUGGUUCCCAGUGCUACACAGCAGGAUCUCAUUGCUAAUCCAUUCCAAAGGCAAUAGUUUGUAUCUAUUAACCCCAAGGUUCCAAUCCAACCCACUCCUUCCCCCUCCCCCUUGGCAACCACAAGUCUAUUUUCCAAGUCCAUGAUUUUCUUUUCUGUGGAAGGGUUCAUUUGUGCCAUGUAUUAGAGUCCAGAUAUAAGUGAUUUCAUAUGGUAUUUUUCUGACUUCCUUCACUCAAUAAGAGUCUCUAGAUCCAUCCAUUUCACUGCACAUGGCAUUAUUUUGUUAUUUUUUAUGGCUGGGUAGUAUUUCAUUAUGUAUAUAGACCAUAUCUUCAUAAUCCAAUCAUCUGUUGAUGGACAUUUGAGUUGUUUCCAUGUCUUGGCUAUCGUGAAUAGUGCUGCAAUGAACAUUCGGGUGCAUGUGUCUUUUUCGAGGAAGUUUUGUCUGGAUAUAUGCCCAAGAGUGGGAUUGCUGGGUCAUAUGGUAGUUCUAUGUAUAGAUUUUUAUCUUUAACUUUUGCCUUUUUUAUUAUUAUAUGCCUUGGUGUGGGCCUAUUUGGGUUCAGCUUGCUUGGGGCCCUCUGUGAUUCCUGUAUCUUGAUAUCAGUUUCCUUUAGAUUUGGAAAGUUUUCAGACAUAAUUUCUUCAAAUAUAUUUUCAAUCCCCUUUUAUUUUUCUUCUUCUGGAAUUCCUAUUAUGCUUAGAUUGGCCCACUUUAUAUUAUCCCAUAGAUCUCUUACAUUGUUUUCAUAUUUUUUCACUUGGCUUUCUGUCUGCUGUCCUGAUUGGGUGAUUUCCAUUAUUCUAUCUUCCAAGUCACUAAUUCAUUCCUCUGCAUUAUUCAUUCUGCUCUUUAGUGCCUUUAGCUCAGUUUACCUCUCUGCAAAAUGAAUUUUCUAAUUUUUUGGUGUUCUUACUUAUAUUUUCUAGUUCCUUUCUAAAGGAAUCUGCAUUACCAUUUAUAUCUGAUCUUAAUGCCUUGAUAUUCAGCCUUAAUUCCCUCAGUAUUUUCACUAUCUCCCAUUUGAACUCAGUGUCUAUCCAACUGCAGAGGUCUGUUUCAUUGUUUGGUGCUUCAGGUGAAUUCUCCUGUUCCUUAAACUGGGAAUGGUUUCUGAGCUUCUUCAUCUUGCUUAUGUUUUCUUUUUCUGUGAGUUUCGGGAAGCCAACCUGUAGUCUUUGAGGGCUACUUCUAUGCAAGAGUGCCCCUUUGUGUUUUGUGGGGGGUUACUAUUUAUUUUUGCCAUGGAAGUUUGAAUAUUUGCUGUCUCUUUCUUCAGUGUGAGCAGGCUGUCAUCCCCAGGGUGCUGAGUGGGUUUCCAGGGAGGAGGCGGCAAUGGUUAGGGCUAAUAGUAGUCAGUGCCUGUUUGCUGGGCUCUUAACAGCAGCAAGGACCUGCAGGAAGGUAGCGCAGGCUACUUCUAGUUCCAGGGCCCUGGGAAGUGUUAAUGAGCCUUAGGAAGAUUUAUUAGGUGUCCAGAGCAUUUGGGAAUGGCAGCAGCAGGGUGUGUGAGUUCCCAGGGAAGUGAGAGCAACAAUAAGUAGUGUUCGAUUGCAAUGCCUUCCUCUGAGGUGAUUGAAGAUGCAAGUGGUGCCUGUUCAGGGACCUCUAGUGGUAGUGGGCCAAGCCCACCUCUGGAGUCAGUGAUAACUGCAGUGGCUUGCCCCUGACACAUGCAGACCAUGCAAGAAGUACCCCGUCUCACUUAGCCCACAUAGGAGGUGCCUUACAGGCUGCUCCUAGUUGCAGUAUACUGGGAAAUGACAGAGAUCAAGCCUGUCCUGAGCAUUCAGCAGUGGCAGCAGCAGGGCUGGUGUGCUCCCAGGGGUGCAAGAGCAAACAGAUGGUGUUCGGUCACAUUGCCCUUCUCUGUGGUGCCCUUGAGGUGAUUGGAGCCACAAGUGGUGCCUGUUCACUGACCCCUAGUGGUGGCGGGCCACGGCCACCUCUAGAGUCAGAGGUAACUGUGGUGGUUUGCUCCUGCCCCAUGCAGACCACUCAAGAAGCACCCUGUCCUGCUUAGCCCAGGCAGGGAGGUGCUGUACCAGCUACUCCUAGUCAUAUGGUUUUGGGAAGGGACAGUGAUUAAGCAACUGGGUGCUGCGCAGAAUGUUUGGCAGUGGCAGCUGCAGGGCACAAGGGAGUGAGAGCAAUAACAUGUGGUGCUUGGUUGCAGUGACUUUUUUUUUUUUGCUGACUCCUGAGGUGAUUGGGGGGGCCACAGGUGGAGCACAUUCACAGGCCCCCAGUGGUAGCAGGCCAUGCCUCCCUCUGGCCUCCAAGGUGACUGCCACAGUCCGUCCCUGCUGCCUGUAGAGCACCCAAGAGGCACCAUGUCUCACUAACCCCUCAAACCCCUGCUGCCCUCAGCCCACGCAAGAGGUCCCCAGCUACCUGUAGACUGUACAAGAAGCACCCGGUCUUCAAUAGUUUAAGCAAGGGGCAUCUCGCCACCCAGAGCCUUCACCAGAGAUGCCAUCUGAGAGCCCAUGUGCCCCUGUGCAGGGAGAUUCCUAUGGUGGUCCACCCCUCCUUCUCUUGCCGUCCCCAAUAAUAGCCCCUUGCUUCUGUGGGCCCAGACCUUAUCCUCAGCAACUUUGACGUCCCUCCAUCUCAGCUGAUCUCCCCAUCAGUUAGGUGGCUUCCCAGGAUGUGGGUUCCUUUUCUGCUUCACAGCUCCCUCUCAAGAAUGCUAGUCCUGUCCUGAUUCCUUUUCUCUCUCUCCCUUUUUUUCUUUUGUUCUACUCAGUUAUGUCAAGAGUUUCUUGCCCUUUUUUGGAGGUUUAACUUCUGCCAGCAUUCAGUAGAUGUUCAGCAUGAGUCAUUUCACAUGUAGAUGUGUUUUUUUGAUGUGUUUGUGGGAGAAGGUGAGUGGGACGUCUUACUCCUCCGCCGUAUUGAUCCUCCCUCGGCAAUAUUCUUUUCUAUCAACAUUCCCCCUAGGGGAGUUCCUGCCGUGGCACAAUGGGAUCAGUGGCAUCUCUGUAGCACCAGGAUGCAGGUUCCAUCCCUGACCCUGGCAUAGUGGGUUAAAGGAUCCGGCAUUGCCGCAGCUAUGGCAUAGGUCACAACAGCAGCUCAGAUCUGAUCCCUGGGCCAGAAACUCCAUAUGCUGCGAGGUGGCCAAAAAAGAAAGAAAAAACAACAAAAAAUAAAAA
rnacentral:lncRNA from 9 species